UGGGGAAUAUUGGACAAUGGGGGGAACCCUGAUCCAGCCAUGCCGCGUGUGUGAAGAAGGCCUUAUGGUUGUAAAGCACUUUAAGCGAGGAGGAGGGUACUGGUAUUAAUACUACCAGGUACUGGACGUUACUCGCAGAAUAAGCACCGGCUAACUCUGUGCCAGCAGCCGCGGUAAUACAGAGGGUGCGAGCGUUAAUCGGAUUUACUGGGCGUAAAGCGUGCGUAGGUGGUUCGUUAAGUUGAAUGUGAAAGCCCCGGGCUCAACCUGGGAACUGCAUCCAAAACUGGCGAGCUAGAGUAGGGCAGAGGGUGGUGGAAUUUCCUGUGUAGCGGUGAAAUGCGUAGAUAUAGGAAGGAACACCAGUGGCGAAGGCGACCACCUGGGCUCAUACUGACACUGAGGUGCGAAAGCGGGGGGAGCAAACAGG
rnacentral:rRNA from 1 species